GCUGGACGCCGGCUCCGCCCUCUUCUGGUCCGCCGCUGCAGGAUGGACGGCCGUGGAAAUGAAGGUCUCCACCCGACUGGUACGAAAUGUGCUCAUCUGGAGAUAAAGGAGGCGGUGCGAGCUCAAACUAAAUGUUUCAGGGAGAAUUGAAGUCUUUCGGUCACCAUGGCAACGGGAACGGGAGCAAACAGAGAGGACAGAACCAGGACAAGUCGACACAAACAGACGGGAGGAGGCGACGUGGAGACACAUCGAGGGGCGAGAUGAAGUGAAGACAGAGUCCCAGGAGGAGGACGAAUAAAGCACAGCAUAACCGCCAUAACAUUAUGACCAAGCUCAGAGAGGACGUCGUGCUCCGACUCUUCUUGGUUUCGUCUCCUUCUCUGUCAGAUCCUUCGUCUUUGCCAGGAGCUGUGAUCUCCUCCGAGGUCAGACAUCACGCUUCCUGACGCCUCCGCUCCAGCUGUGAGAACACAAACAACUGAACAUCCCAGGAUUUAAAGUCCUUUCACGUUCCUCCUCCUCCUCCUCCUCCUCCUCCUCCUCCUCCCGUCAGUCAUUUCACUCUUUUUAGAUUUUAUAUUGUGUCUCUGGGACGCUCGUCCUCCGGCCUCCACAUACAUCACCACAUAUCAACCAGACCGGACAUUAAAUGAGUUGCUUCGUUAGACCCUGCAGCACAAACUCCACGUACGUCUGUUAGUGUUUGAUCAGCUGGUUGAGACGGAGCCACUGGCCUCAUUCAUGAAAACAUUAAAAACA